rnacentral:miRNA from 1 species
CCGGUGAGUGGCAGCUGGUGUUGUGACUCAGGCAAACUCCAAGUUUGCACUCUACGUCUGCCAUCCUCCAGGUGUAGGACACUGAACAAC